rnacentral:rRNA from 1 species
GUCGAGAAUAAUUCACAAUGGACGAAAGUCUGAUGGUGCAACGCCGCGUGGAGGAUGACGGUCUUCGGAUUGUAAACUCCUGUCAUCCGGGAGUAAGACCUGGCGGUAAAUAGCCGACAGGGUUGAUAGUACCCGAAGAGGAAGGGACGGCUAACUUCGUGCCAGCAGCCGCGGUAAUACGAAGGUCCCAAGCGUUGUUCGGAAUCACUGGGCGUAAAGGGAGCGUAGGCGGCGUGGUAAGUCAGAUGUGAAAUCCCGGGGCUCAACCCCGGAACUGCAUCCGAUACUGCCAUGCUUGAGGGUUGGAGAGGUAGCUGGAAUUCUCGGUGUAGCAGUGAAAUGCGUGGAUAUCGAGAGGAACACUCGUGGCGAAGGCGAGCUACUGGACAACAUCUGACGCUGAGGCUCGAAGGCCAGGGGAGCAAAAGGGAUUAGAUACCCUAGUAGUCC